rnacentral:rRNA from 1 species
GCGCGGGGGCAACCCUGGCGGCGAGCGGCGAACGGGUGAGUAAUACAUCGGAACGUGUCCUGGAGUGGGGGAUAGCUCGGCGAAAGCCGGAUUAAUACCGCAUAAGCUCUGAGGAGGAAAGCGGGGGAUUCGCAAGGACCUCGCGCUGUUGGAGCGGCCGAUGUCGGAUUAGCUAGUUGGUGGGGUAAAGGCCCACCAAGGCGACGAUCCGUAGCUGGUCUGAGAGGACGACCAGCCACACUGGAACUGAGACACGGUCCAGACUCCUACGGGAGGCAGCAGUGGGGAAUUUUGGACAAUGGGCGCAAGCCUGAUCCAGCAAUGCCGCGUGAGUGAAGAAGGCCUUCGGGUUGUAAAGCUCUUUUGUCAGGGAAGAAACGGUGGGAGCUAAUAUCUCCUACUAAUGACGGUACCUGAGGAAUAAGCACCGGCUAACUACGUGCCAGCAGCCGCGGUAAUACGUAGGGUGCAAGCGUUAAUCGGAAUUACUGGGCGUAAAGCGUGCGCAGGCGGUUUUGUAAGUCUGAUGUGAAAUCCCCGGGCUCAACCUGGGAAUUGCAUUGGAGACUGCAAGGCUAGAAUCUGGCAGAGGGGGGUAGAAUUCCACGUGUAGCAGUGAAAUGCGUAGAGAUGUGGAGGAACACCGAUGGCGAAGGCAGCCCCCUGGGUCAAGAUUGACGCUCAUGCACGAAAGCGUGGGGAGCAAACAGGAUUAGAUACCCUGGUAGUCCACGCCCUAAACGAUGUCUACUAGUUGUCGGGUUU